GGGGAGUCAAGAAAAGUAGAGCUAGACUGAGAUCUUCCUGGUUGUCUCCCAGCCCAGUGAACCUCCCUGGGGGCCACAGCUACACAAAGAAGGGAAGAAGAGAAGGGAGCAUAGAAAAGAGGGCACUUGGCUGCUCAGCACCCCUGAGUAGAUAUGAGCAAGAAAAGGCCCUGGGCUACCCUGGGAUGAAGAGUGUGGGGUUGGUAGGCUUAGCCAAGUCGAAGCCCAGCCUCACUGCCUGCACUGGACCCUCCCUUCUCUGUGACCACACUGUGACCUUGCUGACACGUGCCUCCCUUCCCUGCCCUCUCCAAACCCUGGCCCAAACACAAAACAGGCUAAGAAGCAAAGAACAAAUGUUCCUGGACUACGACAUUGUCUGUCGCCCGCCUGUCCAGCGCCUGCUCAGCAGGAAACCCAGAACAAAGGCUUUGGUCAGAGUGAGGAGGAUAAAGGGCAAAGGGUAGGGGCAGCCCUGCUGGGGGACAGGCAAGGGCAUCAUCUCUAGGGACCCUAUUGGGAGGGAAGCAAGAACAGGAUGGCACCCUCCCUGCACACACGCGUCACUCCACAAACACUUACGGGCUGCCUCAGUCAAGACCAGGAAAGCAGGAACAAUGGGGUAAUAAGUUAUGAAUGCCAAUGCCCCACCAUGUGGGCACCACCUGCCUCAGUUUCCCAGGUACCAGCCAAGGGCAGCAUACUCCAUAUUCAAGCCCAUACCAUGCCAUUCAUGCCAGAGAACACAGGGAGGGAUGGAGGGCCUGGAGACACUGGCCCUGUCCUGCCCUCUGAACCUGUGCCCUCCUCAUCCCAAAGCAGAGGCACACAUAAGGGGAAGAGAUGAUCCCAGAAAGAGACCCUAGAACAAAGAUAGAGACCCAGAGGAAUUGGAGAGACAAACAGGCCAAGAGAGGACUGCCACGAGCCCCAAACCCAGAAUGACUUGCCUGACAGCCCUCCCUGUGGUCUGACCCGAAUCCUACCCGGUGCACUGCAGGCCCCUCUCUACAACUCCCUCUCCCCAACCUUUGGAGGGUGACUCAGAGAGCCCCCAGCCUCCCAGCCUCCCCACCUCUCUCGGUGAUUCAUCUGGGUCUUUUCCCUCCGGGGAGCAAUUUCCUCAGCAUUGAGUCACCGAGCUGGACACAGUCCAGGCACCUGGCACAGGCUUGGCAGAGUCCUGGCUGUCCCUCUAGCCCAUGCUAGAAUUCUCACUUUUCUUUCAAAUACCUUCAGUGACUCCCUACCCUCAACACA
rnacentral:lncRNA from 1 species